GAGGAAUAUUGGGCAAUGCCCGCAAGGGUGACCCAGCAACGCCGCGUGGAGGAUGAAUGUCGUAAGAUUGUAAACUCCUGUUAGAGGGGAAGAAUAGUACCGGUUGGACCGGUAUAUGACUGUACCCUCAGAGAAAGCCCCGGCUAACUACGUGCCAGCAGCCGCGGUAAUACGUAGGGGGCAAGCGUUGUCCGGAUUUACUGGGUGUAAAGGGCGCGCAGGCGGGAUAAAAAGUCAGUGGUGAAAUCCUACAGCUUACUGUAGAACUGCCUUUGAUACUUUUAUUCUUAAGUUCGGGAGAGAGAGACGGAAUUCCAGGUGUAGUGGUGAAAUACGUAGAUAUCUGGAAGAACACCAGUUGCGAAGGCGGUCUCUUGGUCCGACACUGACGCUGAGGCGCGAAAGCGUGGGGAGCAAACA
rnacentral:rRNA from 1 species